rnacentral:lncRNA from 1 species
UUCUGGCAGAACCACUUCUGGACCUGUCCCUCUGCACCCCCCAUUCCUGCGCCCUCAUUUAACCUCCCUGACUCUGACCUGGGCUUGGUCUAUCUUGGGGCCUGGCUGCCGUCCUGGGACGGGAAGGGGAGCAGAUCAGAACUCAGCCUGCGGCUCCAGGCCGCUGGGCGCUGGCUGGGCCUCACGUUCUCCUGGAAGGACCACCUCCCUUGCCCUCCACGGGGUCUGCCUUUGCUCCCAAGGCUCCGCCCUGGACGGAGCGUCCUUCUUGCCUGGGCGUCUUCAGACCUUCAUCUGUGACACCGGGGGCCAUGUGGCUCACCCCGAGGAAGAGACGAGGACUCGCUGUGUUGGCUGUUCUUGAGCUUCUGGGCUCAAGCAAUCCUCCCUCCUGAGCUUCCCAGAGUGCUAGGAUUACAGUGAAGACUAAGGGCCAAGCAUGAGCCUUUCUUCCUGCUCUUUUACCCUUGAGGCAGCAGGAGAGGAUAUUCACCUCCUGACAUGACAGAUUCUGACGCUAUCUGCUCCUCUGUGACUUUGGGAAGCGGGGUAUGUGCUGCUCCUGGGCUGAUGGGGGAAAGUGCCUCUCCCAGCAAUGCUGGUGCCACUUGGUGUGCUACGGCCCCCCAGGGCAGUGCGGAGCCAUCUGGGACAGUUAGACAAUGAGAGACGUGAAGCCAUUUCAAGGUGCUUCCUUGAAAAUGCUCCAGAAAAACAGCAGAGGCGGCCUCUCUGGGGAUCCGGUCCAGCCCUUGAAAAGAAUCUGUUUGUUUCACCACUGAACUCAAAUAAGCCAACAGAUUGAAGGAAGGGAGUUUCCACGCGCCCCUCCCCACCAAGCAGUUACCUGAGUUCCAGAGUCCAGUCCGAUGGAUCCCAUUUUACCCUGGUUUAAAUUGUUUCCUUAGAAAAAAAUAAACAGAACCUCUUCUCUCACUCUCCAGUGGAAAGUAUAGAAUCAAACGUAAAUGAAAAUGACAGUUUCUAACAUGCGCGACCUGGACACGCGGCUGAACUCCGAGCCUCAGCUGCAGAGUGGGGUCAAUGCACCUACCUUGCAGCGUCACUGUGAGGAUCCACACAACAGAAAUAAACUGCUUAGUGUGUAGUAGGAGCCUCAAAAAUGAUGAUUCAAAAGCACCAGCCUGUCACAUUCAUCCCCUGCUCAAAAACUCUCCCUGCCUUUCCUAGCGCCUAAUGGACAGAUAUUAGUUCAGAAACACUUUAUAACUAAGUGGCCAUAGAGGCAGGCCUGAAGCCUAUUUUCAUUUUCUGUUUCAGUUUCUGAAUCUGUUCUUAUUUAGUCUUCCCUUAAAGGCUAUCUGGCGCCUCCGUGAUGCUUAAUCAGGACAAGCUUGCAGAUGGGUACAGGUUGCAGGCCCUUGCCUCUCUUCCCUUAACCCCACAGCAGCCAGUAAACCACCUGGACACAGAAAGAGACCCACAUAUUCUCUAAAAUGCCUGAAUGGAACAAUCUAGAAUCUAAGCAUUCCUUAUAGGAACAGAGACUACUGUAAGAUGCGGGAUAGUAAGAAGGCAGCCUAGACUCUUCAAAAGGACAAUGUUUUAAAAAAAAUGAAGUGGAGGGAUGAUUCAAGAUUAAAAGAGAGUGAAGAAAUGAGGCCAACCAGAUGCAGUGUACAGACUUGGGCCACAGUGGGGGAGGUGACAGCAGACGGUUUGGUGGGAAGGAACGCACCAGAGCCCCAUGGGCCUGCCUGGCCAGCUCGCUUGGUCAUCCUGGUAAAACAGCAGAGCUCUCUGUUCCAAGAGGCCCACGCGCAGCCCCACAUGCCUGCUGAUCUGUGUACACACGUGUGUGCACUCUAGCAAGCCUCACUUUAAUUGUGAAGAAACAUGGGAACCGGUGCUCCCACCCGGGCUGUGGGAGUGUGGUGCGGUGGGGCCUGGACACGGGGAGGGUCCGAAGUGGGGCCAGCUCCCUGGAGUCAGGCAUGUCUGUCUCAAGCUGCCCCUGUCCCUUGCUGAAUGGGAACCCCCACCAGCUGCCUCGGGAGCCCGUGUCCUUACACUCUAUUCGGAUCUGCUCCAGCUCCGUCACCUCAGCAAUGGACUCCUUCAGGUCCUCCACGAACUUCUGCAUCUCGUCCGAGCCCAGGGCACAGAAAUGCAGCACCUGCUUCUUCUCGGAGCCCGAGAGCGGGGUCACCAGUGUGAUGCCAUGAGAGUAAUCUGGAAAGCAGACCCCAGGCCCCCAGUGGGCUGUGAGCAGCAGCAGCCGAGGGCCAGAGCCAGCCAGACAUGAGGAGGGCACGGGGUCUCAUGCCUCCACCCACUCUGCUGUCCAGCCCUUCUCCCUCAACUCGCCCCAGCCAUUUCAUCCAUUCAUUCCUUCUCAAAGACUUACACUGGCUGUCAAAGACUUACACUCGUUCUCAAAGAGCUGGAACUGCAUGCCCAGCAGGCCAACUGACUUGCAAAAGGUGUACGUGGAGGAGCUCUUCUUCUUCGGGCAAAGUUUGAGAAUCUGUUCAGGAGAGGGAAACAGGCAUGCCCUGAUGAACAGACACUCACGGACACAUGGAUGCACAAACACCCGGGGGAUGCACGAUCACACAAACCCACGCAGUGAUGAAUGUGCACAUACAGCUUCUGUGAGCUGAGCCCUGGAGAUACAGGAGAACUCAGGACAGAGCCCCUGCCCUUAAGGUGCUUAUGGAAUGUGGAGUGUCACAGUGUC